rnacentral:rRNA from 1 species
UCAGGACGAACGCUGGCGGCGUGCCUAAUACAUGCAAGUCGAACGGUCUUUCUAUGGAAGCUUGCUUCCACUGAGAAGAUAGUGGCGAACGGGUGAGUAACACGUGGGUAACCUGCCCAUAAGAGGGGGAUAACAUCCGGAAACGGGUGCUAAUACCGCAUAGUUUUCUUGAUCGCAUGAUCGGGAAAGGAAAGACGGCCUUUGUGCUGUCGCUUAUGGAUGGACCCGCGGCGUAUUAGUUAGUUGGUGAGGUAACGGCUCACCAAGACGAUGAUACGUAGCCGACCUGAGAGGGUGAUCGGCCACAUUGGGACUGAGACACGGCCCAAACUCCUACGGGAGGCAGCAGUAGGGAAUCUUCCGCAAUGGACGGAAGUCUGACGGAGCAACGCCGCGUGAGUGAAGAAAGGUUUUCGGAUCGUAAAACUCUGUUGUCAGAGAAGAACAAGUUGGAGAGUAACUGCUCCAGCCUUGACGGUAUCUGACCAGAAAGCCACGGCUAACUACGUGCCAGCCGCAGC